UACGAACGCUGGCGGCGUGCCUAAUACAUGCAAGUCGAACGAGAGCGCCCGGUGCUUGCACUGGUCAAUCUAGUGGCGAACGGGUGAGUAACACGUGGGUAACCUGCCCAUCAGAGGGGGAUAACAUCCGGAAACGGAUGCUAAAACCGCAUAGGUCUUCGAGCCGCAUGGCUUGAAGAGGAAAAGAGGCGCAAGCUUCUGCUGAUGGAUGGACCCGCGGUGCAUUAGCUAGUUGGUGAGGUAACGGCUCACCAAGGCCGUGAUGCAUAGCCGACCUGAGAGGGUGAUCGGCCACAUUGGGACUGAGACACGGCCCAAACUCCUACGGGAGGCAGCAGUAGGGAAUCUUCCGCAAUGGACGCAAGUCUGACGGAGCAACGCCGCGUGAGUGAAGAAGGUUUUCGGAUCGUAAAACUCUGUUGUUAGAGAAGAACAAGUGCUAGAGUAACUGUUAGCGCCUUGACGGUAUCUAACCAGAAAGCCACGGCUAACUACGUG
rnacentral:rRNA from 1 species